GACGAACGCUGGCGGCGUGCUUAACACAUGCAAGUGGAGCGACGAACCAGGGCUUGCCCUGGGGCAGAGCCGCGAACGGGUGAGUAACACGUGGGUAACGUGCCCCGAUGAUCGGGACAACCCGGGGAAACCCGGGCUAAUACCGAAUGUGCUCCCCUCACACCAGUGAGGGAUGGAAAGGAAGCUUCGGCCUCCGCAUCGGGAUCGGCCCGCGGCCCAUUAGCUUGUUGGUGAGGUAACGGCNCACCAAGGCUGCGAUGGGUAGCUGGUCUGAGAGGACGAUCAGCCACACUGGGACUGAGACACGGCCCAGACUCCUACGGGAGGCAGCAGUGGGGAAUCUUGCGCAAUGCGCGAAAGCGUGACGCAGCAACGCCGCGUGGGGGAAGACGGC
rnacentral:rRNA from 1 species